UAGGGAAUCUUCGGCAAUGGACGAAAGUCUGACCGAGCAACGCCGCGUGAGUGAAGAAGGUUUUCGGAUCGUAAAACUCUGUUGUUAGAGAAGAACAAGGACGUUAGUAACUGAACGUCCCCUGACGGUAUCUAACCAGAAAGCCACGGCUAACUACGUGCCAGCAGCCGCGGUAAUACGUAGGUGGCAAGCGUUGUCCGGAUUUAUUGGGCGUAAAGCGAGCGCAGGCGGUUUCUUAAGUCUGAUGUGAAAGCCCCCGGCUCAACCGGGGAGGGUCAUUGGAAACUGGGAGACUUGAGUGCAGAGGAGGAGAGUGGAAUUCCAUGUGUAGCGGUGAAAUGCGUAGAUAUAUGGAGGAACACCAGUGGCGAAGGCGGCUCUCUGGUCUGUAACUGACGCUGAGGCUCGAAAGCGUGGGGAGCAAACAGGA
rnacentral:rRNA from 1 species